rnacentral:rRNA from 1 species
GACGAACGCUUGCGGCGUGCCUAGAAAUGCAAGUCGAACGGGGGGCUUCGGCCCCAGUGGCGAACGGUCGCGUAACACGUAAGCAACCUGCCCUGAAUGGGGGACAACAUCCCGAAAGGGGUGCUAAUACCGCAUGUGGUCACGAGUCGGCAUCGACUUGUGUCUAAAGAUUUAUCGCUUCAGGAUGGGCUUGCGGCCUAUCAGGUAGUUGGUGGGGUAAUGGCCUACCAAGCCGACGACGGGUAGCUGGUCUGAGAGGACGAUCAGCCGGAUUGGGACUGAGAUACGGCCCAGACUCCUACGGGGGGCAGCAAUUAGGAAUCUUGCGCAAUGGGGGAAACCCUGACGCAGCGACGUCGCGUGAAGGAUGAAGGCCCUCGGGUCGUAAACUUCUUUUGAGUGGGAAGAGAUUUGACGGUACCACUCGAAUAAGCCCCGGCUAACUACGUG